rnacentral:sRNA from 2 species
GAACCAUGCGCGGGCGCCAUUUUUGGUCUGUCGGCUAAGCGUUUCAGAAAAUCCAUCCCAUGGGCUUUUAUUGUGGAAAAUGCACAUCGAAGUACCUUAUCUAAUCGUCGUUGCACGUCAUGAAAAUCCGUAACUAGUUAGCUAACUAAACCGAUCGAUCGCGCACCAAAGGACUCGGCGGAAGUUGAUACAUACAUCCGGAGUACACAGCUCAUGCGUGAUGAGGUUUCGCAGCAAAGAGCAGGCAGGUGUACCUGAGCUGAGCGCUUUGUGCCUUCGCGCGGCGAUCUGGUAGCGAGUUAACUACCUCUCGCCA